AUCAGCUUUCACAGGGAUUGUGAUCAAAUUGGCAAUUAGAAAUGCCUAGAUUGAAUUGGGAUCAUAUCAAGAUUAUCACGAGUCUAAUAUGGCUCAGAUCAGUAUUAGGUCUGGUCAGUGUUGAUCUAUACUUGAUCCGAGAUUGGAGCAAGCUCAAGUUUGGAUCUUUAACAGUCAUAGAUAUUCCUGGGUCUAAGAACCUUGUUAAAAGGUUUACCAUGAGAGAGUUGCAAUCUACUUCAUACAACCAAAUUCAGUUGUCCCUGAAAAGAAAAAUUAUUAUAAACUCUCAGGUAUUGUCAAUGGAACUGCACCACAUCCAGUUUGGUUAUCGGAGAUGUGUGAUCAACUGGGGCAAGUUAUGGGCCGUUCAUCGUGGCUUCCAUUUCCUGACUUUGUGCUCAGAGCAGUAUUUUGUAAGGGUGCCACAAUAGUUUUGGAAGGUCAGAAGUUGCUACCAGUUAAAGCAAAAGAGCAUGGUUUCCAUUUUAAGUACCCAUUUGUCAAAGAUGCUUUCAGGGAUAUCAUUUCAUCUGGAAGCACUUAGGCUAUUGCAGUGACUACUGUCUGUAUCAUCAUGAUCCAGUGAAUUUUCUAUCAUGGUGGCCGAUGCAUGAUUUUCUUCAAACUCGGAUACUGGGAGAUUUUCCAUCUUAGUUAUUUACUCAUUUUAGGCCUUCUGGUUGCAAAAUAUGUUCUAGAUUAUUCAUUUAAUGAAAUUGACUGGUGAUUGGUUCUUGUGAUCUUGUUAUAUAAUGGUGAUGCUGCUUUCGUUGAAUGUUUUUUACUAUUUUUUGGGAAAUGAUGAGCAAUUCAUGAA